UGGGGAAUAUUGCACAAUGGGCGAAAGCCUGAUGCAGCAACGCCGCGUGAGUGAUGAAGGCCUUCGGGUUGUAAAGCUCUGUCUUUUGGGACGAUAAUGACGGUACCAAAGGAGGAAGCCACGGCUAACUACGUGCCAGCAGCCGCGGUAAUACGUAGGUGGCAAGCGUUGUCCGGAUUUACUGGGCGUAAAGGAUGCGUAGGCGGAUUUUUAAGUGAGAUGUGAAAACCCUAAGCUUAACUUGGGGACUGCAUUUCAUACUGGAAAUCUAGAGUGCGGGAGAGGAGAAUGGAAUUCCUAGUGUAGCGGUGAAAUGCGUAGAGAUUAGGAAGAACACCAGUGGCGAAGGCGAUUCUCUGGACCGUAACUGACGCUGAGGCAUGAAAGCGUGGGUAGCAAACAGGAUUAGAUACCCUGGUAGUCCACGCCGUAAACGAUGAGUACUAGGUGUAGGAGGUAUCGACCCCUUCUGUGCCGCAGUUAACACAAUAAGUACUCCGCCUGGGAAGUACGAUCGCAAGAUUAAAACUCAAAGAAUUGACGGGGUCAUAGCUG
rnacentral:rRNA from 1 species